GAGGUGUGCACGCGCUUUCCCGCUUAAUUGCUGGUGCCGCCAUUUUCUUUCAGGGAAGCACAACCGGUUUGUGUGUCACUGAGGAUUAUGUGUUUGGAUUUUAUAUCAUAUUCAAGACUCGACGUCCUUCAGUGAUCCAGAGGAACCCACAAUCCCCUCAGUGAAUCCUCCAGACACCUGCUGUCUCAUUGGUGAAGGCCGAGCAGACUGCACAGGACCUGUGGCUGAUGUACCUCUGAUGGGCUACAACAACACUGAGCUGACGGCGCGAGGCAUUCACACGCAUCUGUUCAGCAGAGCCUUCAUCGUGAUUGAUGGAAGCAAACUUGCUUGUCGGAAGCUGCCAGCGACGUGAGGUCAUCCCUGAUGCGCCAAACAGGACUCUAAUCGGUGCUGAUGGCAGUCCGGCACUCUGAGUACGCAGUGUGCAUGCGUGUCCUGUGGGUCGAUGGGCCCCGGAAGAUAAGGCACACACGGCCAUGCUGGAACACUCGAGUAGUAGGAUCCUAGUCCUUCCUCGUCUCCUGGGUCUAUCCUCAACAGCACACAAAGGGCUGACUUUCAAGAGUUUGAGUAUGACACACAACAUCAGCAUCAACGAAUCAGAUUGGUCAAAUACUUCAAUUGAGUUUGAUAAACCAGUUCAGCCACAUAAUAGACAUAAAGGGUGGACAGAAUGGUCAGAUUAUUUACAGAAACAGGGAACCGCAGGGAAAGUGUUUAUCUGGAUUAUUUCUUCGGUUGAGGUUCACAUCAUGCUCAGAACAACAGAAUCAUCAUCACAAUAAACAAAUAGCUGUGUGAAGUGUUGAAGGAUCUUUAUAUGAUUCUCAUACACUUGUGUGUAUCUUCAUAUUUAGCUAUUUGUGUACACUUGUCUCACUUUUGUGUGUUUAUGUGUAGUAACAGUGUUUGUUAAAUUGAAUUGAAAAUGGCAUUUCUGAUUGUGAUUGUGUGAUUAAAAUCAUAUAUGAAGCAUCAUCAAGAGAGUAGUUUAGUAUCGCAACAAUCUUCAACACGUAUGACUUUACCCCUGCCUGCAUCAAACCAAAUACUGUUCUUCAAAACCAUGACAAGUUAAACAUUUAAUCACAUCACCAAGAAUGAUUAAUAUUGGAAGAAAUAUGAGCUUAUUUAUGUAUGGUAUAGAAUUUCAAUUUCCAUUUUUUUAUCUGUAUAUAUUGUAUGUACAUGUUUUUGUUUUGCUUCUUCUUACAUUGUUGUAUAUGUUUGUUAAAUUGUGCCAAACAAUAAAAGCACUUUCAC